rnacentral:tRNA from 1 species
GCCUGACUGGCUUAGUUGGUAGAGCACGUGACUCUUGAUCUCGGGGUCAUGAGUUCAAGCUCCCUGUUGGGUG